GGGCGGAAUUACCACCGGUGCAGCUGCACCAGGGCCCGAGCCUGGAGGGGCCCAGUAGACCCAGGCAUGAGGAGGCAACUUGUUUUCAGAUUGUGG